GGCCCAGAUUGGGGCGGGGGGGGGUCCCAGCCUUGCUCCUGCCUACCUAAGAAGCGCUUGCUUCCCUCAGGGCCCUGCGGAGCAUCCCUUCAGUGCGGGCAGGUGCAAAUUGCUGCACUUCCAAACCCUCCUUGGCUUGUGAUGCCUCUGCAAAGCCCAUCAGCAGAAAUUACCUGCAUAACAAAUGUGCUUUCCAAACAUCAGAUGCCUCUUCUGGUUUAGACAUAGGGAUGUCAGAGCUUUUCUGCAGGGAUUUUGCCUCACUUGCUUGUGUCAACGUUUUGGGUUUUCUUUUAACUGUUUAAAGGAAAAUUUCUGAACUUGUUUGUGCCUGAACCUUCACAGGAAUGCGAGAACAGGAGAACAUACCCUUGGAUUUACAGGAACGUGUUUCCUCUUAUUCCUUCGUGUCAGGAUAGGGGGAAUCCUUGUUUGGAAUUGGUGCUGCUGCUGGUCAGAUAUCAAAGAAAGGCCACAGUGCUUCUGACAGCUCCUGCUUGGGAAGGCGCGAGGCCAAAGCUUUGUUGGUGAUGCCUCUUAGAGGAUGCUGGUGGAGUUCUUGAUGGAGUUAGUUGAGAGAAGAGCCAGGAUGCUUUAGGGAUGUUUGCAGUCGAUGGAGCCUUCUUGGUUUCUUGCAUCUCUGCCUGAGUAGCUCAGUACCCAGGAUUUUGCCUUUUGGUGGUUGGUCUUUGCAGCCACUUGAGAGCUGAGUGUUCUGGAGAGUCUGCAAUUGCAGGUUAACUCUUAGGUUUAGCAGUUGCAGUCACCUUCCGCAAGAUAAGUCCGAAUCCUGAUUCAGUUCUUCCUGAAUCUGAGGGUUCCUGACCCUGGUUUUGCAGAUGGAAGCCCAUCUUAUUUUCAAGAACCUGGUAUUGAGGAAAGGACCCAAGAUGAAUAAGUUUUCUGAGGAUUCUGGGUACUGAAGUGAUGGAAACACUGACCAAAUAGCUGAAUAAAAUGUCUUCUUUGUAGACUUUUUCUUCUAAAUUCCAUGAUUUCAUCUGUGUUUAAAAUGCAGCAUAAAAGCAAAAAGGGGUUAAGCACAACUUUGCCGUUUGCUCUCAUUUCAUUUGCCAAAACACACUUUGCUGCUGUCACUGUGCAGAUGCGUUACUCAGUUUGUGGAAGCAGCCCAGAAUUUCGGUUGCCUUUUCAUUAUUAGUAAUUGUCUUUUUGCAGUGUUUGCAGUGUUACCAUCCUGGCUGCUUUCGUGUUUGGGGCUGGUCAUAGCAGAGCAGGGAACUGCUGUUUCACGUGCUGUUUCUGAGGUUCCUUUCUGACCUGGUCGUCUUCUGCCUAUUCCUGCUGGUUGCUCCAGCUGAGAUUUUGAAGUUUUGAUGCCUCUUUCUUGCCCAGGACAAACUAGAACAUGAUGUCAACUCCUCCUUUCUCUAUUGCCCUCACCAUUCACUUGAAUAAAAGAAAAUUCCUUUGAAAAA